rfam:Aedes aegypti strain Liverpool supercont1.268 genomic scaffold, whole genome shotgun sequence.
UGCCCAGCAACUCCUAUCCCUACCUCCUCGUGGUACUGGCCGGGGUACGAGUAACAUUGGAGAAGAUCAGGUAUCCAAACCCCGGUGGGAACUUUGGUCGUAUGCUGACAGGGAAGG